GCGGACACAUCCCUGCCAAUCUCCGGCAGACCCUCCCUCCCAGACCCUCCCACCUCCUGGACAGCAUCCAUGUUGAAGCUGCCUUCAACAUGGAUGCUGUCCAGGAAGUAGGAGGGACUGGGAGGGAGGGUCUGCUGGAGAUUGGCCGGGAUGUGUCAG